CCUACGGGUGGCAGCAGUGGGGAAUUUUCCGCAAUGGGCGAAAGCCUGACGGAGCAAUGCCGCGUGAAGGUAGAAGGCCUACGGGUCAUGAACUUCUUUUCCCGGAGAAGAAGCAAUGACGGUAUCCGGGGAAUAAGCAUCGGCUAACUCUGUACCAGCGGCCGCGGUAAGACAGAGGAUGCAACCGUUAUCCGGAAUGAUUGGGCGGAAAGCGUCUGUAGGUGGCUUUUUAAGUUCGCCGUCAAAUCCCAGGGCUCAACCCUGGACAGGCAGUGGAAACUGCCAAGCUGGAGUACGGUAGAGGGAGAUGGAAUUGCAGGUGGAGCGGUGAAAUGCGUAGAGAUCGGAAAGAACACCAGCGGCGAAAGCAGUCCGCUGGGCGGAGACUGACGCUGAGGGACGAAAGCUAGGGGAGCGAAUGGGAUUAGAUACCCCAGUAGUC
rnacentral:rRNA from 1 species